rnacentral:tRNA from 1 species
GAUUGUGUAGCUCAGUGGCAGAGCAUUUGUCUAGCAUGUGGGAAGCCUUGGGUUCAAUCCCCAAUGCAAUAA